CCUUCGAUAGCUCAGCUGGAAGAGCAUGAGACUGUAAAGGAAACCUGUGCAAUCUCAGGGUCACUGGUUCGAGCCCAGUUUGGAGGA
rnacentral:tRNA from 1 species